UGGCUUUCUCAGAAUUUCUUGAAACAGUGGCAGCAGGUAUAUGAGAAUGAAAGGGAAGUAGAUUGGUACUGUUACAAUAAAAAUCUGAGGGCAAGAGUAAUGGGUUUGUAGAGAGAGAGAAAAAAGUACCUUGAGAUUCACCAAGAACAGUUCUUCUGCAGAUGAAACAAACAUUUCUCUUCAUCUUCAAAUUGGAUUUUUCCUUGUUGAUUUUUAGCUUUAUAGUCUAACAAAAGGCAAGUGAAAUGCUUUGUGUUUUGGAUCUGUGCUUAUACACACGGUUUAUCCCCAAUAUUUGUAUGAUGCUUUGUUUUGUGGUUUCUCA
rnacentral:lncRNA from 1 species